rnacentral:rRNA from 1 species
AUACGUAGGUGACAAGCGUUAUCCGGAUUUACUGGGCGUAAAGGGCGUGUAGGCGGUCUUGCAAGUCAGAAGUGAAAUUCCUGAGCUCAACUCGGGCGCUGCUUCUGAAACUGCAGGACUUGAGUGCUGGAGGGGAUAGCGGAAUUCCUAGUGGAGCGGUAAAAUGCGCAGAUAUUAGGAAGAACACCGGUGGCGAAGGCGGCUAUCUGGACAGUAACUGACGCUGAGGCGCGAAAGCGUGGGAAGCAAACAGGAUGAGAUACCCUGGUAGUCCACGCCGUAAACGAUGAGUACUAGGUGUAGGGGGUAUCGACUCCCUCUGUGCCGCAGUUAACACAAUAAGUAUUCCGCCUGGGGAGUACGGCCGCAAGGUUGAAACUCAAAGGAAUUGACGGGG